rnacentral:ncRNA from 1 species
GUGAGACAGUAAGAACCUUGCUGUCUAUAAAUCUAGCCAUAUGCUGGAAACUCUGUCCCCUAAGCAUUCGUGCUGAAGGGGUUAGUAUCUCAAGAUACUUAAAAAUCGUGGAUAACCGACAAAAUAAUUGUCUGUUAUGAUCCCGUUUUUAAAUUUUUAAGUAAAAAUUCUAUGAGUGCAGACAAUCAGCAGGAAAGAUUAGAUUCUUAUAUUGCUGGAUAUGAAAGCAGUGAUUCAGAAUCUAAAAUCCUCAACGACUCUACGCUAGAUUUUGUUUAUCUUGUGAGAGGUAGACGAAAAAGAUAGAGUCUGAACUGCAUGGCAACAUGCAG